rnacentral:rRNA from 1 species
AUGAAGUCUUCGGAUCGUAAGUUCUGUUGUCAGAAAACAAGUGGUGCGAAUAGAGCGGCACCUGACGGUACCUGACGAGAAGCCCCGGCUAACUACGUGCCACAGCCGCGGUAAUAGUAGGGGCAAGCGUGUCCGGAAUAUUGGGCGUAAAGCGCGCGCAGGCGGUUCCUUAAGUCUGAUGUGAAAGCCCACGGCUCAACCGUGGAGGGUCAUUGGAAACUGGGGAACUUGAGUACAGAAGCAGGAGA